rnacentral:rRNA from 2 species
GAUCGAGCGCGAAAAGGGCAUCUGGUGGAUGCCUUGGCACUGAGAGGCGAUGAAGGACGUAGCACGUUGCGAUAAGCUUCGGGGAGCCGCGAGCAGGCUUUGAUCCGAGGAUUUCCGAAUGGGGAAACCCACCGCGCAAGCGGUAUCGUAUGGUGAAUACAUAGCCAUGCGAAGCGAACCCGGCGAACUGAAACAUCUAAGUAGCCGGAGGAAAGGACAUCAACCGAGACUCCGUUAGUAGUGGCGAGCGAACACGGACCAGGCCAGUGGUGUGAUGAUUAGAACCAGAACGGUCUGGAAAGGCCGGCCAUAGUGGGUGAUAGCCCCGUAUGGGUAGAAGGUCAUCACAUCCUUGAGUAGGGCGGGACACGUGAAAUCCUGUCUGAAAUUGGGGGGACCACCCUCCAAGCCUAAGUACUCCUCAGUGACCGAUAGUGAACCAGUACCGUGAGGGAAAGGUGAAAAGCACCCCGACAAGGGGAGUGAAACAGUUCCUGAAACCGGAUGCCUACAAGCAGUUGGAGCUCAAGGUUCGUCCUGGGUGACAGCGUACCUUUUGUAUAAUGGGUCAGCGAGUUGGUCUUACGAGCAAGCUUAAGCCGUUAGGUGUAGGCGCAGCGAAAGCGAGUCUGAAUAGGGCGCUAAGUUCGUAGGAUCAGACCCGAAACCGGGUGAUCUAUCCAUGGCCAGGUUGAAGAUGCAGUAACAUGCAUUGGAGGACCGAACCCACGCCUGUUGAAAAAGUCGGGGAUGAGCUGUGGAUAGGGGUGAAAGGCCAAUCAAACUCGGAGAUAGCUGGUUCUCCGCGAAAUCUAUUUAGGUAGAGCGUCGG